rnacentral:rRNA from 1 species
GACGAACGCUGGCGGCGUGCCUAAUACAUGCAAGUCGAACGCAGUGGGGACGGGUGAGUAACACGUGGGUAACCUCCCAUCAGAGGGGAUAACACUUGGAAACAGGUGCUAAACCGAUACUGAUGGAUGGCCCCGCGGUGCAUUAGCUAGUUGGGUAGGUAACGGCACACCAAGGACACGAUGCAUAGCCGACCUGCGAGGGUUAGCGGCCACACUGGGACUGAGAAACGGCCCAUACUCCUACGGGAGGCAGCAGUAGGGAAUAUUCGGCAAUGGACGAAAGUCUGACCGAGCAACGCCGCGUGAGUGAAGAAGGUUUUCGGAUCGUAAAACGCUGUUGUUAGAGAAGCGGUAUCUAACCAGAAAGUCACGGCUAAAUACGUGCCAGCAGCCGCGGUAAUUC